rnacentral:lncRNA from 1 species
GAUUAGUUAAUCAAAUUGCUAAUUGGAAAUAAAUUUAAUCAUCUAGAUCCAGUUCUGACAAACAAUGCAUUAUUUAGUCUUGCUUGGUUAAAAAUGGAUCUUCUCUUCCGGGAAAACUGAGGCAACACAUCCAGAAUUAAUAAUUUUAUAAAGGAUCCUUUCCACUGAAGAGAUGACUCAAAAGCCCUUCCCAAAAAACACAACUUAUACAAUGAGAUCUCUGUAAUUCUGUAGUCCUAAUGACCUAAACAAUAUUAUUAAACAUGUGUACUAUAUAACUGUUAGUAAAUAUAAACAUAGACUAAAGUACAUUAAUGUGACAAUCAAAGAAUUACUUUUAAUGUAAGCAUUAGUAAACAUGGGAAAAGAAGUGUAUUUUGGGGAGUGGGAUGAAGAAAUCUAAAUCUUUAUCUUACAAAUCAAUAGAUACUAUAGAUAUGGAACAGACAUAUGUGAGUGGUGGGCCCACUAUGCUGACCCCCACAUGCUUCCCAAGAAAAAAUUUACCUGCAACCCUGCCUGGUAGGGUAGAGGGGAAAGCUUUUGUGACUCUUAAACAAACCAGUCAGCAUGAGCCAAAGUAAUCUAGAGUUGUCAUGUGCAAUGGAGACUUGAAAGUCUGAUGUCAUCCUGCUGUCAGUCAAAAGUCAAGAGGUGAACCUAGGCCAGGCUUUCUGAAAACUUCCCUAGGACCCCCCAAUAAAACCAGAAGGCUGGAAGAGCAAGCCAUCCUUCUUCUCUCUGAGAGGACCCGCUCUCUUCCUUGAGAGUAUCCCCUUUUCCUAGCCCUUCUCAUAAACUCAUGCUGAUCACUCAGAGUGACAGGUCUCUUUAUGGCUUGAAUGCAAGAAUCCAGAGGUGUUCCCAGCUGACAGUCUCUCAGCAGGCAGGUGCCUUGUAACAUUAUUUACAACUGAAAAAUUAUGAAGCACUACAAUAUGCCUGUUUGAUAAAGAUAGAAACACGAAUUACAGGAAACAGCUUUAAAACAUAAAAUAGUUACUAUAGGAACCAAUAAUUACACAGACAGGACCACGUGAGAGGUUGACUGUAUUGAGUCUUACUGAAUUAUUUAAUCUCAAUCUAUGUAUGCUGAAAUUUGAAUUUUCAUACCAGUUUCAGUGCCCCCAUUCCUCUAAGUGCAUAAAAAAACUAAUCUGAAUCUCUUCAAAGCCAUGCUGGCCUGGCAAGUGGGAUGGAGAAUAUCUGCAGUGAAGACAAGUGAAGGCUCCCAGCUCUGCUCUCUGUCAACAAAAAAGAAAAAAAAAAAAAAACAUCAUGAUUUUAAAUGCAAAGCCUGCACACGCAGGCAUCCAUACAGCACCUUCCUGCUCAUAGACACACGCGAUCUACCCGGAACAUUUGCACAACAGGGCUCUGAGGAGGCGACAGACCAGAAGGUGGAACAGUACGAACUCCGCUUUCAGCUACUGCAACAUCAACUCUAACGUUUGGGGCAAGAACUGUCGUGGAAACAAAGGGGAAAUACUGGGUCAGGGCUGGCACCACACUCCUGCACACUGGGCCCCGGGGUGCACCUCCAGGGCGGGGGCGGAGCUGACGCGCCAGUCCCGCCCCAGCCCAUGUCCUCUAACUGUCCCUUCGCUGCGCCUUUCCAGUCAGGAAGCCGUACGAGGAGAGUCUCACGUCGGAUGCCAGCUGGCUGCCUUCCUGGGCGCCCCACGCUGCGCCAUGCUGCUCCUCCGAAGUGUCCUGGCCCCACGCUGCGCCAUGCUGCCCCUCCGAAGCGUCCUGGCCCGGGCUCUGACCGCACGCACGCUCGCGCCCCAGGUACCGGCCGCCGGGGGGCGCGCCCGAGCUGCAGAGUGGGGCGGGGUGGGGCCAGGGCGGAAGCGGGGCUGGUAAGCGAGUCCCACGCACGCGCGCGCCGGACGCGGCUCUGCCUAGUGGAUAUGGGGCGGCGGCCACGGAGGAAAAGGGAUCCCUUGGGUCAGAGUCGUCUACCCGGUGGACAGAAGUCUUUUCUGGCAUGGGAGCCAAGCAGCCAGCCCCAAAGUCGCUCCCAAAGCACUGGCGGUUGCGAUUUUGCCGCCAGCACCGUGGCGGCUGCGGCUCCGGGAGCUCGCCCUGCUUCGAGGCGGGGCCUUGUAGCCGUCGGCCUCGCGUAGGUGUGGGUUUGACAAGUCUUCGCUCCGUCCACACUAAAGGUGCGGGAGAGGACCACCGACGACUGGCGACCCCACCAGCCUUCACCUUUGAAAGGAAGGCGCAGCUUGCGAGCAUUUUGCCGAGAACCUUGGAGAGUCGGCCAGGGUCCCAGUGUGGGGCACCUUGCCGCCCUCCCUGUGUCCUGCGGUGGUCCCCAAGCCCAGCGGGGGCCUGAGCCUGAGGACCGUAAACGUGACCUGCUUCAGCCUUAGAUGAGAAAGGUCCAAAAAGAAGCCAGGGAUUGGAUCUGAACCGUGGGAAUCGGCUUGUUGUGUGUGGUCCAGUGGAUUUAUCGUCGAGAUUGUAUUCCUUUCCAUGUUUAGGCUUAAAAUUCCUUUCCAAAAACAAUGGAAAAGGAGAAGCAGAUUUUUGUUUUGUUUGUACUGGGGAUUGAACCCACGGUCGCUUUACCGGUGAGGUACAUCCCCAGCCCUUUUAAUUUUUUUGUUUUGAGACAGGGUCCCAUAUAGUUGCUGAGGCUGGCCUGGAUCUUUCUAUCCUCCUGCCUCAGAAUAUGGAGUCGCAGGGAUUACAGGCAUGGGCCACCUUGCCUGGCUAACAAUGCAGUCUCUAUCCUAUUGGUUCUCUCAGGUGGAGCAGGGCCAACAUUUAUUUCCUUACAACUUUUCUGUAAACUUUACAUUUCUACAAAGGUACUCAAUGAAUUGUUAGUCAUUGCUCGCAAGAAUGAGUCCUAACUUAAAGGGAGUAUGAAGCACUGAUGAUUUCUGCCCCAGCAAGGUUUUAGUCCUGCAGCAAAAAUCAGGAAAUGACGUCAUUCCCCAGCCAAGCCCCUUACCCUCAAUGCAGGUUCUCUAACUCUGUGUGUGUAUAUGUGUGUAUAAAUACGUAUAUGUGCACAGACACACACACACACAUACACAUUCUCCUGAGAAAGAUUAUACUUUAGUGUGUGUGUUUGAAUAACUGUUUCCAAAUAGAAAUUCAUUAACCAACCUAAAAUGUGCAGUUCCUUAUGUACUAUUGGUUCAUUUUUGACAUAUUUUAUUUAUCAUAUUUUUUAAACUGUGGACAAAAGUUGUUUGUUCCACUAACAUUCUGUUAUUAUAAUUUGGUUUAAAAGUACAGAAUUUCCACCAAACAAGACCAGCUGCAGUUGUGAUUGAUGGCAAACAGUCAUUUUAGGCAUAUGACUAUAACUCCUAAUAGACAUGAGUGGAAUGAAUUCAAGUGAGAUGUUGAUAUUAACUUUAUAUACAAUUAAAUGAAACCCAUAUGCUAUUGUGUUUUCUAGAUAAAUGUAUCAGAGCAGGGGCUGGGGUUGUGGCUCAGUGGUAGAGUAUUUGCCUAGCAUCUGUGAGGCACUGGUUCGACUUUCAGCACCAUAUAAUAAAGUUUUUUAAAAAAUCAGAGCAAAAAAAAAGGGAUAUACAAAGUUAUAAAUGUCAAUCCUAAUUUGUAGAUUUGUGGGUACCAAAACUGUUUUAAAAUAUUUUUCUGGUGUACAUAGUUCAGGCUAGUGAAACCUACAUAACAUGUAUUUGUAAAUUAGAAUGCCAUAUGAAUGUGCAUAUAUAUGUGUGUGUGUGUGUGUAUGUAUAUAUGUGUAUAUAUUAUACACAUAUAUAUAUAAUAUAUGUGUAUAAUAUACAUAUAUACAUGUAUAUACACAUGUACAUAUAUGUGCCAUAUGAAUGUGCAUAUAUAUAUAUAUAUAUAUAUAUAUACACAUACACACAUAUGUAUGUAUAUAGACAUAUACAUAUACAGGAUAAUUUAUGGCAAGAUGUGCCCUAAUGAAUAUUAAGUUCACUGACAACACGAAUUAGAGAUUUUCAUACUGAGCAUAUUACUAUUACAAAAGGAACUACUGGCUCUUAGGGGAUGUGUCCAUCAAACUGGUAUGACUGAUGCAUUAAAUGUGCUUCAUUUUGCAUCUGUCAUUAGAAACUAAUAAUGAGUCAUACAAUUCAUCUUGAAUUUUUCUUCUUCAGCAUUCAUACAGCCCACCACUAUAUUACCAUUAAUUGAAUAACACAUAGCACCUUCUACAUUUUUGACCAAUGGUUUAAUUCACUGAAUGUAGCAAAUACUUUGACCUAAAUAGCAAUUUCUAUUUUUUUUUUUUUUUUGGUGGGGGGUACCAGGGAUUGAACUCAGGAGCACUCAACCAUUGAGCCACAUCCCCAGCCCUAUUUUGUAUUAUUUACAGACAGGGUCUCAUUGAGUUGCUUAGCACCUCACUUGCUGAGUCUGGUUUUGAACUCACCAUCUUCCUGCCUCAGCUUCCCCAAGCUACUGGGAUUACAGACGUGUGGCAGUUUCCACUUUUUAAAAGGUCUUCUAGUAAACAUUUCAUUGUGCCUGCCAAAUGACAUACAUACUGAAUUUACAAAGUUCUUUCAGAUGCAUAACUAGCACAUAUACUACCAAGUAAAAAUUGAAUAUUGGCCAAGUAAGGAAAACUGUAAAUUUAUGCGAAUUUCAAUUGUAGUUCUCCAGUACAGAAGUAUCAUUGAUACCAAUGCCUUCAUAUAAGCAAUUUCUCAUGGAAAAGUGGCUAAGUUUGUGAACUCUUGCCAGGAAAGAGUAGCUGUAUGUUCUGCUUGUUUUGUAACAUGAUACAUCCUACCUUUCCCAAAAUCUUUAAAUUUGCCUUAUCUUUCUUCAGGUGUGCUCAUCUUUUGCUACAGGCCCCAGACAAAAUGAUGGAAUGUUCUAUGAAUUUCGUACCUAUGCUCUUAAACCCUCAAAGGUGAAUGAGUUCCUAGAAAACUUCAAGAAAAAUGUGCAUCUUCGGACAGCUCACUCUGAAUUGGUUGGAUAUUGGAGUGUAGAAUUUGGAGGCAGAAUAAAUAAAGUGUUUCACAUUUGGAAGUAUGGUAUGAAUCAUCCUGGUUAAGUGUUCAGUACAGAUUUUCAUUGCAUUCCAUGUUACAUGAGUAUAAGACUUAGUUCUUGGAUUUAUAUUACUAGCGAUACAUACAGGUUAAGUAAAUCUUUUAAAAUAUAUGACACCUUUAUGUGUGUGUGUGUGUGUGUGUGUAUUUAGUGAUUAAUUCUUCCAUUGGUCCAUCUCUAACAACCUCUGGCUCAAAUUCUUCAGUUAUUAUGAAUGAGAACUUGUUGUGUCAUAAAUCAUAAUAUGGUAAACUUCUAUUCUCAUAAAAAAAUGGAAUGGUUUAUUUGAUCAGUGCCCAAAUUAAUAUUCAUAAAAUAUUUUAUUAUAAAAAUAUAUUCAUUCUACACUUAUCAUGGGCACAGUAUAGGAUUUUUACCUAUUGUAAUAGAACAAGCCCCAUUAAAACACAACUUGUGCUUUAGAUGUGCUACAAGUUAAAUCAUGGCCCACUAAGAAAACUAAUGAAGUCCUGAUCUACCUCACUUAAGCUGUGAGAUAGAUGUUAUUUCUUAUCACCAUCAUAAACCAUAUAAAACUCUUAUCAUUAGUCUUAUAAGGUUUUCAUAGUAAAUACAGUACUAGGCCCAUAUGUGGGUAAACGUCGAUACCUGUUGGAAUAACUCAGAAGAAAAAUAAGUGCUGGCGGGGGGAGGAAAUGGCUGGUAAUAAGUAAGAGAAUCAACACUAUUUCUUUGAAGGCUCUUUGUUCAAAGGAGAAGAGACUCACCAAAUACAUUUUAAUUUCAUUUAUUGUAAUUUGAUUCAAGGUGUACCUUGACCUGAGCACCUGCCACCAUGAAAGAAAAAUCUUCUUUCUCUGAACUAGCACUAUCAGUUAAAUGCCUCAGUUGAAUUAAUAAGAAUAUUCCACAAAUAUUGAAAUUAACUAGAUGCUAAACAUUGUUCUAAGCUCUUUUUGUGUAUUAAUUCAGUUAACCUUCAUAACAAGCCUGGAGAACAAUGUUGCAUUCUCUCCAUUACACAGACUAAGAAACUGAAUGCAGAAGGAUACAAAAACUUCCUCCUGCAAAGUCAUAGAACCUAUGAAGUCAAUUCUGUGACAUUACACUAGUCAUUUGCAAUUCUAUUCCCCGUAAGCCCAUGAGCAAUUUGAGUACAGAUGUCACAUCUCCUUAUGUUAGUAUAUCCAAAAGCAUAACAGUGUUCCUCUAUGCUACAGGUGAAUGUUUGAAGAUUUGGAUGAAAUCCAGAGAAGCAUAGGAGAUUUUAAGUUGUAAAUGUUUCUUUUUCUUAAUUCUUGUCUCCCCUAGAUAAUUUUGCUCAUCGAACUGCAGUUCGGAAAGCCUUGGCUAAAGAUAAGGAAUGGCAAGAACAAUUCCUCAUUCCAAAUUUGGCUCUCAUUGAUAAGCAAGAGAGUGAGAUUACUUACCUGGUGCCAUGGUGCAAAUUAGAAAAGCCUCCAAAAGAGGGUAAGUCAUCUUCCUUCUUCACCACUUGGAAUUUAGAUGAAUGAAAUACUAAAGAUUUUAAGUGAUAAAAGGUGAAGUUCCAUUAGCAAACAAGGAAGCUAAUUCUUUAUUUUAUGGUAACAUACUUUGAUUGUUGAGAUAAAAUUAAAUUAUGCCUUUUUGUUUAUUCUUAAAAUAUGAGUAUUAAGAUUUUUUUCCAAAUUGAGAUUUUUGUUGAUUGGUAAAUUUAGUUACACUGUAGAAGAUUGAUGUAGCUGCUAAAGUUUAAGAAAUUUCACUUUGGGGGCAGGUAAUAAGGAAUAGUAUAUGAAGUUUUGUUAUAAUUUCAAAGUAAUAAAACAUUUAAAUGUAAAAAAAAUAUAUUCAAUAGCUGGGAAUGGUGGUGCACAACCAAUAAUCCUUAGCUACUUGAGAGGCUGAGGUAGGAGGAUCCCAAAUUGAAAUCCAGCCUGGCAAUUUGACUGUCACUGUCUCAUAGUAAAAUUUAGAAAGGGCUGGGCUAUAUAUAGCUCAGUGGGAUAGCACUUGCCUAUCAUGUGUGAGGCCCCAGAUGGAAUCCCAGUAUUGCAAAAAAUAUUUUUUCACAAAUUACAACUAAUCUUAAAUCAUUAAGUAUAUCUUUGUUCAUAAAAUUGACUGGGGAGAAUGUAUUUACUGAAACUGCCAAGCUGUAUUAGUGUAGUCUAACUUUUGUGUCAAGAAAGUUUCUCAGCCAAUCCCUAAAAAACAAAUGCCAAAUGUCUUCUCUGAUAUAAGGGAGGUGACUCAAAAUGGGGUUGGGAGGAAGAGCAUGAGAAGAAAAUUACCUCUAGAUAAGGAAGAGAGGUAGGAGGGAAAGGGAGGGAGAAGGGGAAUUGCACGGAAGAUGGAAGGAGACCCUCAUCGUUAUACAAAAUACAUGUAUGAUGAUGUGAGGGGUAAAAAAAAAGAAGUGUGUCACAUUAGAUUGGGUAGACAGAAGUGAUGGGAGGGGAGGGGAAGGGAAAGGGGAUAGGAAGGGCAGCAGAAUAAAAUAGACACUAGUAUUGCUGUAUGUAUAUACGUGUCUGUAUAACCAAUGUGAUUCUGCAACCUAUACUCUCAGAAAAAUGAGAAAUUGUAUCCCAUUUGAUUCAAAUGUAUGAUAUGUCAAGAUCAUUGUAUUGUCAUGUGCAACUAAUAAAAAAAGAAAAAAAAAGAAAGUUUCUCAGUUUGAAAAUAAUUCCUUAAGAUGUCUUCAUGCUGCUUUUACUUCUUACUGAUUUAAAGAAACUAUUACCUCAAUCUACUUUUAAACAAAGGUCAGAUUAGAAAAGCAUAAACUAACUUAAAUUUCUUAUUAUUUUCUAUAUUAUUGCCAACUUGUAGUGUAUUUUAUAUUAUAAGAAAUUUGAAACAUCUAUUGGGAUUCUUAUUCACUUAUAUUUCCCCUCUGGUUUCAGUACUAUCUAAAAAUAGUUGUCUUCUGUAGUACUGUCAAAUUUUAGUUAACUUUCUCUGUAUUGUUCAUAAUUCUUUAGUAACUCUGGAAUUUUUUUCCUUCUAUUGUCUGAUCUUCUCAUUCCCUAUUUUCUUUGUCUCUAUCCUCUCUAUACUUGUGACUAUAGGUAUAAAACUUUUCAAUAUUAUAUGGAUAUUUAGGAAUCAUAAAAUCCUCUUUCAGACUUUUUCUCCCCCCAAUCCCUAAAAAACAAAUGCCGAAUGUCUUCUCUGAUAUGACUUCAGGUCAACCAUUUGCUUGCUAAUUCCUGUUAAAAUGGAAUUCUGUAAUGGAAAAAUAUACAAAGAAUAAAAUAUCUGCUCUCCAAAUUAAAAAGAGGGAAACAUAGGAGAUCACAAAAUACUUCUUUUGUCAAUUUAUUUUCUUAUAGACUUGAGAAACUCAAAAUUUGACUUCAUUAUAAAUUCUCAAUAUCUGUUGCAUCAACAAAGUUUUAUAGAUUAAAAAUAUUUUAGAUAAUAGCUUUGUAUAUAGUUUCUGGUCUUUUUUUCCUUUUCUUCUCUUUGAUUAAACUUAACAAGUGGCCCUUAAACAUGGACAAGAACUUUCUAAACAUGAAAGCAAGGAAAAAUAAUGCAAAGAAUUAAUUAAUAUGACAUAAAUAUAUGUUUAUAUAGGUUAUGUAGAUGUAUAUAUGUUAGUCCUUCACUACUGGAAUCAAGCACAACUGAUUAAAAAUUAUUUCAAGAUCCUCUGUAAAAUAAUUAUUUUUUUCCCUAUUUUAGGAGUCUAUGAGCUGGCUACUUUUCAGAUGAAACCUGGUGGCCCAGCUCUGUGGGGUGAUGCAUUUAAAAGGGCAAUUAAUGCCCAUGUUGAUAGAGGCUACACAAGACUAAUUGGUGUUUUCCACACAGAAUAUGGAACACUCAACAGAGGUACAUGUCUUCUAUGGAGGUGUAAUGUACAUUGGUGAUCUAUGUUUCUUCUGUUGGUUUAAAAUUUAUAAACUGGAAGGAUCCUUAAGAAAAUACUAUUUUUGUCUUUUUUUCUCAAAAUAUAUUUUUCUUGAUUUUUUUUCAAAAUAACAUUACUUAGUUUAGAGAGAUUUUUUUGAAUGAAAAUUUAAUAAAUACGUUUACAAAUGCUAAACACAUGGAGAAGCCCAAAGGAAAAAAAUUACUCAUUUCCCAUUAUUUCAAAAUAAUGCAUACAUAUCAGGAAUGUAAAAACCAAAAUGUUAUCAGAUAUAAGAAGGAUAGAAACAAUGUAUAUCUAUGACUGGUAAUAACUUCAUAACAUUGUAGCAUGGAUGGAUAGAUGAUAGAUGGAUGCAUGGAUGGAUAGAUAAAUAGAUAGAAAAAUAGAUAUAAAGAAACAAAUUUUAAUAAAGCAUAUCUGGAGCAUUUAACUCUUAAAGCUGAAUAUAAUUUCAGUGAAAAUUUCAGAGAGGUUUUUCUGUGGCUAACUCUAAAAUAUCUGUGUAAAGUUCACCCAUUGGAUAGAAGAUUAAGAAGAGCUAAUAAAAUAUUUGAAAGAUCCAUUGUAUCCAAUUGCCUUCUCUACUUUUCACUUGAAUGUUCAAUAGAUAUCUCAGGCCUACCCCAAUCAAAGCUGAGCUCCUGAUCUUUACCCAGAAAUUGCCUAGUCAUAUGUCCAAAGAAACUAACCAGAAUAUAUUUUUAAAAAUGUAUUUUUAAGAUGAGGAAUAUAUGAAGAAGAUAAGAAUUGUGAAUAUUAUUAGAUUUCUAUCUCCCACCAUGUAUUAAAAUGAAAGUAAAUUAAAAUGGAAUGUAGAUUCAAUGUAAAAGUCAGAAUUGUUAAAAUAAAAUAUCAAUUAAUUUUGGUAAUAAUACGGAUGGAGACUAUAUUUCUAAGCCAAAACGUAAAUGAAAAAACUAUGUAAGAGGAAAAAUAUCAACUUGAUGCCUUUAUUAUACAAAGGCCUAAACUUUCCACAUGCUCCAUAUCAGCAUGAGUAAAAUUCAAAAGCAAAAAGGAAAAUAAAAAUUUACAUCAAGGUAGACAUACAAGUAACAACCACCUAUAUGUUAAAGAAAAUGCAGAUUAAGACAUACCGAGAUGUCACAUUUUAAUUAAUGUGCUUAUAUGGAUAUACUAUUUGGUCAGGAAAAAAUAAGUAUUCAUAUUUUGUACAAAUUCAUAUUAAUCAUAAUUAAUCUUAAUGACAUUUGUAUUAUAGAUAUACAUGUAGGUACUGCUCUAAUGAGGUUUAUGCCAGCUUUGUUUAUAGUAGAAAAAUACUGGAAAUAACACGGUUUGACCCUGUUUAUGUAAUAAAUAAACUCAUAAUUCUUAACUAGAAAUAUAUAUAAAUUAUGUAUAUAUAUAUGGUGUAGAUACAGAAACAUAAAUAUUAAGUGCAUAUAUACAUAUAAAUAUGUAAAGAAUAUGCCAAAUAGAAAAGUGGUUGUUUCAGAGUGGUAGGAUUAAAUAUGUUUGUUAUGAUCUUCUUUUAUUUUCCAAAAGCUAUAUAACUAUUAUAGUAAAUUUUAAUGAUAAAAGCAGGCAUGAUGAUGCACGCCUGUAAUCCUAACAACUCUGGAGGCUGAAACAGGAAGAUUACAAGUUCAAAGCCAGCCUCAGCAAUGGUAGGGCAUUAAGCAACUCAUUGUAAAGUUCAUCCACCAUUUCUCUAAAUAAAAUAAAAAAUAGGGCUGGGGAUGUGGCUCAGUGGUCAAGUGCCUCUGAGUUCAAUCCUGAGUAGCAAAGAAAAAAGAAAUUUUUAAUUAUAAAAAACUAUAAGUAAUAAUGUACAAAAAAAACCCAUUUAUUUUAGCAUUUUGUAGAAUACUACAAUGUUGAGAAUUUAAAAAUCAACAAUAAGAAGUUGGGAGAAAAGAUUGUGUAGAAUACUGCAAUAUUGAGAAUAAUCUAAAUAAUCAACAAUUGAAAUUGGAGUAAAAAAAGAUGUUAUAAGAAGAAAUUUAUAUAGUCAUUGAAAAUAAUAUUAACAUUACAUGGUAUGCCAUUAAUGUAUACAUUUUCAUGUUUUUAUGUAGCAGGCAAAAUUUAUUUUUUUAAAUUAAUAUCAUUGACAGAAAGUUAUCAUAUUAUUGCUGGUUGUGGUGACACAGACUUAUAAUCUCAGUGAUUUUGAGGAGGCUUAGGCAGGAAUAUUGAAGUUUGAGGACAGAAUCAGCAACUUAGGGAGAUCCUGUCUUAAAAAAAAAAAAGUGGGACUGGGGCUGUAGCUCAGCAGUAGAGCGCCUGCCUUGCACGUGUGAGGCACUGGGUUUGAUCCUCAGCACCAUAUAAAAAUAAAUAAAGAUAUAAAAAAAAUUUUCAACAAUUAAAAAAAAUUAAAAAGGGUUAGGGAUAUAGCUCAUGGGUUCAAUUCCCAGUACCACCAUUUUUUAAAAGGAAUUUCACUAUAUAUUAACAGAGGUUUAUCUAGAUAGUUAAGAUGAUUCUAGUUUUUAGUUUUCUUCUUUGUAUAUAAAUUUUCUACAGCAUGCACAAUUGUCUAUGAUCUAUUAUUUAGAACUAUUAUAGAGAAACUAAUGUAAAACUACUGUGUGGUUUAUUUCUGCAGUUCAUGUUCUGUGGUGGAAUGAGAGUGCAGAUAGUCGUGCAGCUGGGAGGCAUCAGUCUCAUGAGGAUCCCAGGGUCGUGGCAGCUGGUAAGCUAUUUCACUAGGCAUGGGUUAUUUUUACAACAAACUUGAUUUGCUCAAUAACUUUAUAUGCCUUCUUAUGAAAUGUUUUCCAGUUCGGGAAAGUGUCAACUACCUAGUGUCUCAGCAGAAUAUGCUUCUGAUUCCUGCAUCAUUUUCACCAUUGAAAUAGUUUUCUACUGAAACACAAAAGAUUUCAUUAAUUGGCCUAAGAUGUGUCUGCUAAUGGUGCUUAAGUUCUUCCAAGAGAAUUAUUCUCACUUUUAUUUUAAUGAGGUGGUAAGUUAAUUUACUAUGUUCCUUGCAUUUUUUUAAAGCCAACUCUGUCAUCUAUUUAUCACCACUUAAGGAAAUAGUUCUAUUCAUUUUCUCCAUGAUGUGUCGGUGUUUGUUAUAUGUGAGACAUAGUUGUCACUACUUCAUGAUCUUGAUUUUUUCACUUGAUUCAGAAUAUCUUCUGUAUUUUGAAAGCCCUUUGCUUUAUAAUAUUUUCUCAAAUUCAAAUAAUGAUUUACAUUUCCUCGUCUGACAAUAUUUUUAAAUUAAGUACAUAUAAUAUAUCUAUCUUUUCAUGUUUGUUUUUUCUGAUAUCUAAAACUAUAUUUUUACCCAGUAAAGUUUACUUUGUGAUAUUAAAUGGGAUUGACAAAAAUAUUAAAUUAAAUAUAUUUCUUUACUUUGGAAAAGUACAGUAUCAUAUGUGUCAUCUGUAUUAACUGUGGGCUUCACAUUAAUUAUUAGGUCAUUCUAGAAAAUAAUAUAAUUAGCUCACAUUAUUACAGUUUCAAGGAAGACUUGGUUUAUAUGCUGAAAUAUGUUCAUUUAUAAUUAAUUUUACUAAUUUUUACUUACCUUGUGUCACAAAGA